GACGAACGCUGGCGGCGUGCCUAAUACAUGCAAGUUGAGCGAUGAAGAUUGGUGCUUGCACCAAUUUGAAGAGCAGCUAACGGGUGAGUAACGCGUGGGGAAUCUUCCUUUGAGCGGGGGACAACAUUUGGAAACGAAUGCUAAUACCGCAUAACAACUUUAAACAUAAGUUUUAAGUUUGAAAGAUGCAAUUGCAUCACUCAAAGAUGAUCCCGCGUUGUAUUAGCUAGUUGGUGAGGUAAAGGCUCACCAAGGCGAUGAUACAUAGCCGACCUGAGAGGGUGAUCGGCCAAAUUGGGACUGAGACACGGCCCAAACUCCUACGGGAGGCAGCAGUAGGGAAUCUUCGGCAAUGGACGAAAGGCUGAACGAGCAACGCCGCGUGAGUGAAGAAGGUUUUCGGAUCGUAAAACUCUGUUGGUAGAGAAGAACGUUGGUGAGAGUGGAAAGCUCAUCAAGUGACGGUAACUACCCAGAAAGGGACGGCUAACUACGUG
rnacentral:rRNA from 1 species